CGGCUCUCGGUGUGUGUGUAUCAUUUGACUUGGUGGCGUGGAAACCCCACACCCACUGGCCCGCUACAGUAGCUUAAAUAAUGACAUAAUCAGGCCGUAUAGAAUGCAACAUGUUUAAUAGCCUAACUUUCAAUAGAUGAGGAAAAACAUGAACGUCGCAAUAACGAGGCAUAGUAUUACGAGUAGCAUAUGUGUGUGCGCGAGAAUGGCAGUGUGCGUAUGCGUGUGUGAGUGACGUCAGCGAGUGAGUGGACGAGCGAGGAGAGCGAGCGGUAGAGCGUGUGUCUAGUGAAGAAGCGAACGAGUCCGGUAGAAUAAAGUACCCAUCAAUAAUCGGUGGCCGCUUCAUUCUGACCUAUAAGCAGACAAACUGCCAGUCAAAUCACACAAAACAAUAGAGACAGGAUCACACAGACAUUUCGCGCUUGGCCCACUCUGGAUAAAUGUCGUUCAUAUCGCAUAUGAGGACUUCGACGGCUGUGGAGAAAUGCAAUCCUCCGUAGCCACGGAGAGCUGUGAUCACAGAGAGGGCAUCUCGUCACAUAUUUACGGCAUCAAUAGGAGGGGGCGCUGUCAGCAGACUAAUAUUUAGACCGAUUAUUAGCAAAUUUCUAUCGGACAAUUUGACCGAAGCGUUAGAAAGGGCAUAUCGCGCUUCUGCCUUCUCAGACCGCGAGACAGGUUUGUGGCUUUGAGUAUCGCGAUUUUCGGUUUGAUACGCGUAUCGUUACAGCCCUAGUUGUUAUAGUGCGAUUCAAUGAAGCAGAGGCAAGUGUAUCUGCCAUCCUGGUGAAGCUGAAGGUGGCCAUGGGAGACGAGCACGACUACAUCCUUACAGACACACUCAGCAAUGAAAUUGUGGAGUCAGAAGGGACAACUGGGUCUUUGUACUGGAGGCAGAAUUCACGGAAAAUCCAUGCUAUUGAGAGUACCGCAUACCGGCAAUGGCGUCGACGACGAUCAAGUAACAGGUAUUGUUUAGAUAGCAAAACAUAUUUUUUCCCCCAACACCCCAUAGCAGGUCCUGGGUUUGAAUCCUGGCUUGGGCAGGAACUUUCAAUGAGGAGUUUGCACGUUCUCCCCGUGCCUGUGUGGGUUUCCUCCAGGGGCUCUUGUU
rnacentral:lncRNA from 1 species